UGAAGCUUAUCCAACACAAAGAUCCACUAACAUUGUACAAUGAUCUGACAAAAAGUCUCUUGUCUCAUGUCACAUGACAGUAAAAUUUUCAAGCAGUUGCAUAGCCAACAGGUCAAUGUGAGUGAAGCUUUUGAAAAAAAACCAACCACAACUACAGUUACAAAAUGCAAAGAUUUAAAGGGCAUUAUCCAUAGGUUCAUAGGAUUGUCAAAAGUGAGGUCUUCAUCCCUCAACGUUACAUCUAAUUCAUCAUCAUCAUCUGUAUAAUCCAAGAUUCCUAUGUCAUCUUCAUCAGCAUAAAGACUAACAGAGCCAUCAGACAUGUUAUCUGAAUAAUGUAAAUCAUCCAAGUCCUCAAGUUGACUGAAAGAAGAUGACACCAGGUUUUUACCUUCAUCAGAAGUUUCCUCAGAGUCAUAUCCAUCAAUUGAAGGCUCAUUGACAACUUCCCCAUCAUAUUCAAUGACAACUUUUGGCAAUGUCAUUCCUGAACUUCCAUGUUCUUUUUCUGUUCUAUUUCUGUCAUUGUUAUCACUCCUGCUCACCUCAUUCUCAUUGAUAUUACUUUCAAUUUUGAAUUCAUUAGGAUCAUUUACAUUUGAAGUUCUAAUUUUUGAUCCAACAGAUGGCACUGUUCCCUUACCACUGCUGUCAUCAAACUUUUCUAGGCCAUCAUUACGGCUGUCAUAUUCAACAACCACAUCAGGUUCUUGAUGUGCAGUCCUGCUUGCACCAUAUGAGUCUGAUGACCAUGAUUUCUGGCUAGAAUUCUCAUCAUAAGUAUUUUUAUCAGUAACUGAUUGCUUUUCUAAGCCAUCAAGAUCUAAUUUUGCUUUUUCUCCUUGCACAAAACUAUUACCUUGAAAAUUAUAUUGUCUAUUACUCCCAGAUGAACUCAGAGGCUGGCUUAUAGCACUAAUUCCAUCCCUGAAAUUCCUUGGUAAAGAAUUGGUGACGUUUUUUUCAGUUUUCAUACCAUGCAAACCAACUGACAUUGGCUGAUUGGUUUUUUUUUCGGCAUUAACUAAAGAGUCAAUAUUUUCUUUAAUGUUCUCAGAAUUUGUCGUCUCGUCCUCGUCUGUUAAUGUGACUGGUUUGAAUCGUCGACGGUUUGCCGACAAGGUCUUUUCAACAGGUUUUCGCUGUCUGGAACUAUAGGGCGUCUCAUAUUUGGACAGUCGUGAAGCAAUGGCAGAAUCUAAGGGGGUCUGUCUGUUUGGAAAGCCAGCUCCAAUCUUUGGUUUCGGAGCCACUUUGGGACGAUUUGUUCGCGGCUUAUCACUAAGUCGCGGUGAAGAUCUUGAUUGAGAGAGUUCUCUACUCGAAAUCGAUAAUCCUACAUCGUUGGAAAGAAUGAGCGCUGAUGGAAGGUUUGGUUUUUCGUUUAACACGUUUACACGCUCAUCUGAGAAAGCCUCAUGGUCUUUAAUCGAAGUUUGAGGACUAUUUACAUCAAAAGAAAAGUUGGAGUUGUUUUCGAGUUCUUUUCUUCGCGCCAAGGGUGAAGGUGAUCUUCGUCUUGGACUGCGAGGCCUUGUUUUUGUCAAAUUUUCGAGCGUGUAUUCUGUCUGUGGUGGCAAAAGUGAUCCUAACUCAUCAACUAAACUUGAAGAUUCCUCCAAGUUGUCUUUUGCACUAACUCGAUUCACGUUAGCAAUGGAACGAGAGCCAUGAUCUUCUCUCACCACAGAAAAUCCAAACGGCUUGUUCGAGUCCUUCGAUAAACCAGGCAACGCAAAAGCGCUUGGAGUAAAACCUCUUUUAGCCAUUCUGUAGUAACAGUCUACUUGUAACGGGAAGCUUCGACGAUGCCAUUAGUAAAUGAGGCAGUUAAACUUUCAAAACAAGCAAUAAUUUCAGCAUGAUAAUUGAGUUUGCUUUACACUCAGCUGUGCAUUCACUUACUAACACAUGCAUAAUUUAUGCAUAUUUGGCAGGCUGCGUGUUUGUUUGUGUACAUGCCUAUGUCACGUAGCGUGAUUGACAGCAAGACAUGAGUUGUAAACAAGUAGACGAUGAAGUCCUUGCUCGCAAAGAUAAUUACAGUGAUCGAAAACAAACGACUCAAGUUCUGUUAAAGGAACACAUUAAAUAUGAUACCCGAUUAAGCCGGACCAUAAUGUUUGAGAGAAUGCUUAACAAUGA